GUGCUUUGCCAGGAUGACCGAAUUCAUUCUGCUUUGUGGAGAGUUCCAGGGUUGCUGGUCCAAGAUUCCUGUCCACAGCCUCUUACGGGCAUCCCCUGGCACCUGGCAACAGGUGUGUGACUGGGCUUCCUCCCGUCCCCUAGGCUGGACCAGCUUCGGAAGCCACACUCCGGCUUGUUGUUGACAGUAGCAGCGAACGCUGCUUCCGGUUAUCGAGCAUCGGCUUUGCUCCGGUGGCUGUGCUAAGCACAUGCAUUAGUACAGUAUCUUUUUUAAUCUUCACAGCAAACCAAUAAGUUAGCUACUGUUACUACCGUCAUUUUACAGAUGAGGAAGAGGAGGGCGAGGGAGCUGACGGGGCUUCGAGUUAGUAAAGGUCACUGAGCUCCUAGCUACCCAGUGUUUGGCCCUUGGCGAGCCCAAGCUUGGGAUCCGGGCACAUGCUGCUUCCUGAUGGUUGCACUGCUCGCUGGGGGCUGGGAUUUUAUUUUAUUUUAUGUUUGCAAUGGAACAGACAUCUCUGGAUUGGAGAUACUUCUCGAGACAUGCACACCUGCUGGUCCUUCUAUUCCUUCCUCGCCUGGCUUGCUCUGGGGUCAGUCUCUGCUCUGGACUCUGCCGAGCACCUGGGUCAGGUCCUGAUUCGUGCUUGUCAUGGUUUUUAUUCUUCCAGCCGGAAGUGUCUUAGCUGCCCGAGCCCCUCUGCUCAGCUUUCGUCCAUCUGCAUUUGUCCUGGCCUCCUUCUCUUCGCUCCCGGUCAGCGCAGAUUGGCGCCCGGUCCCCCUGCACCAUCCCAGGGCGCUGCCCAUAACCUGGGCACUCCCCGCCAGAGUGGUGUCUCCUGCCCAGCCCAGGCCUUGAAGCUGUGCUCUUCUGACAAGAAAUAA
rnacentral:lncRNA from 1 species